rnacentral:tRNA from 1 species
GGAGAGGUGGCUGAGUGGUCGAAAGCGCGGGUUUGCUAAAUCCGUGACCCUUCGGGGUCCGCAGGUUCGAAUCCUGUCCUCUCCG